UACGUAGGGUGCAAGCGUUGUCCGGAAUUAUUGGGCGUAAAGAGCUCGUAGGCGGUCUGUCGCGUCGGCUGUGAAAUCCCGAGGCUCAACCUCGGGUCUGCAGUCGAUACGGGCAAACUUGAGUGUUGCAGGGGAGACUGGAAUUCCUGGUGUAGCGGUGAAAUGCGCAGGUAUCAGGAGGAACACCGGUGGCGAAGGCGGGUCUCUGGGCAACAACUGACGCUGAGGAGCGAAAGCGUGGGGAGCGAACAGG
rnacentral:rRNA from 1 species